rnacentral:rRNA from 1 species
GCAGUCGACGGACUUAACCGAAAUAUUUAUAUUUUGGAGCGGUUAGUGGCGGACUGGUGAGUAACGCGUAAGCAAUCUGCCUAUUAGAGGGGAAUAACAGUGAGAAAUCACUGCUAAUACCGCAUAUGCCAUGAACAUCGCAUGAUGAAAAUGGGAAAGGAGUAAUCCGCUAAUAGAUGAGCUUGCGUCUGAUUAACUAGUUGGUGUGGUAAUGGCAUACCAAGGUAACGAUCAGUAGCCGGACUGAGAGGUUGAACGGCCACAUUGGGACUGAGAUACGGCCCAGACUCCUACGGGAGGCAGCAGUCGGGAAUAUUGCGCAAUGGAGGAAACUCUGACGCAGUGACGCCGCGUAUAGGAUGAAGGUUUUCGGAUUGUAAACUAUUGUCAUUAGGGAAGAUAAAAGACAGUACCUAAGGAGGAAGCUCCGGCUAACUACGUGCCAGCAGCCGCGGUAAUACGUAGGGAGCAAGCGUUAUCCGGAUUUAUUGGGUGUAAAGGGUGCGUAGACGGGAGAUUAAGUUAGUUGUGAAAGCCCUUGGCUUAACUGAGGAAUUGCACUAAAACUGGUUUUCUUGAGUGCAGGAGAGGUAAGUGGAAUUCCUAGUGUAGCGGUGAAAUGCGUA